UACGGGGGGGGCAAGCGUUGUUCGGAAUUACUGGGCGUAAAGGGCUCGUAGGCGGCCAACUAAGUCAGACGUGAAAUCCCUCGGCUUAACCGGGGAACUGCGUCUGAUACUGGAUGGCUUGAGUUCGGGAGAGGGAUGCGGAAUUCCAGGUGUAGCGGUGAAAUGCGUAGAUAUCUGGAGGAACACCGGUGGCGAAGGCGGCAUCCUGGACCGACACUGACGCUGAGGAGCGAAAGCCAGGGGAGCAAACGGGG
rnacentral:rRNA from 1 species